rnacentral:rRNA from 1 species
GACGAACGCUGGCGGCGUGCCUAAUACAUGCAAGUCGAACGCAGUGGGGACGGGUGAGUAACACGUGGGUAACCUCCCAUCAGAGGGGAUAACACUUGGAAACAGGUGCUAAACCGAUACUGAUGGAUGGAUCCGCGGUGCAUUAGCUAGUUGGUGAGGUAACGGCUCACCAAGGCCACGAUGCAUAGCCGACCUGAGAGGGGGAUCGGCAAAAUGGGGAUUGAGACACGGCCCAGACUCCGCCGGUAGGCAGCAGUGGGGAAUCUUCGGCAAUGGACGAAAGCCUGACCGAGCAACUCCGCGUGAGUGAAGAAGGUUUCCGGAUCGGAAAGCUCUGUUUUUAGAGAAGCGGUAUCUAACCAGAAAGCCACGGCUAACUACGUGCCAGCAGCCGCGGUAAUUC